rnacentral:rRNA from 1 species
CCCGGUGUAGCGGUGAAAUGCGUAGAGAUCGGGAGGAACACCAGUGGCGAAGGCGACCUACUGGGCUUUAACUGACGCUGAAGCACGAAAGCAUGGGUAGCAAACAGGAUUAGAUACCCUGGUAGUCCAUGCUGUAAACGAUGAUUACUAGGUGUGGGGGGUCUGACCCCUUCCGUGCCGGAGUUAACACAAUAAGUAAUCCACCUGGGGAGUACGACCGCAAGGUUGAAACUCAAAGGAAUUGACGGGGGCCCGCACAAGCAGUGGAGUAUGUGGUUUAAUUCGAAGCAACGCGAAGAACCUUACCAGGUCUUGACAUCCAACUAACGAAGCAGAGAUGCAUUAGGUGCCCUUCGGGGAAAGUUGAGACAGGUGGUGCAUGGUUGUCGUCAGCUCGUGUCGUGAGAUGUUGGGUUAAGUCCCGCAACGAGCGCAACCCUUACUGUUAGUUGCUACGCAAGAGCACUCUAGCAGGACUGCCGUUGACAAAACGGAGGAAGGUGGGGACGACGUCAAAUCAUCAUGCCCCUUAUGACCUGGGCUACACACGUACUACAAUGGCCGUUAACAGAGAGAAGCGAUACCGCGAGGUGGAGCGAACCUCAAAAAGCGGUCUCAGUUCGGAUUGCAGGCUGAAACCCGCCUGCAUGAAGUUGGAAUUGCUAGUAAUCGCGGAUCAUAAUGCCGCGGUGAAUACGUUCCCGGGCCUUGUACACACCGCCCGUCACACCAUGGGAGCCGGUAAUACCCGAAGUCAGUAGUCUAACCGCAAGGAGGACGCUGCCGAAGGUAGGAUUGGCGACUGGGGUGAAGUCGUAACAAGGUAGCCGUAUCAGAAGGUGCGGCUG